GACGUAGGGCGCGAGCGUUGUCCGGAUUUACUGGGCGUAAAGAGCUCGUAGGUGGUUUGUCGCGUUGUUCGUGAAAUCUCACGGCUUAACUGUGAGCGUGCGGGCGAUACGGGCAGACUGGAGUACUGCAGGGGAGACUGGAAUUCCUGGUGUAGCGGUGGAAUGCGCAGAUAUCGGGAGGAAUACCGAUGGCGAAGGCAGGUCUCUGGGCUGACACUGACGCUCAUGCACGAAAGCGUGGGGAGCAAACAGG
rnacentral:rRNA from 1 species